rnacentral:rRNA from 1 species
UUACAAUGUAGAGUUUGAUCCUGGCUCAGGAUGAACGCUAGCUACAGGCUUAACACAUGCAAGUCGCGGGGCAUCAUGGAGGUUGUUUUCAACUUUUGAUGGCGACCGGCGCACGGGUGAGUAACGCGUAUCCAACCUUCCCAUUACUACGGCAUACCCCGUUGAAAGGCGGCCUAAUUCCGUAUGCAGUCCGAAGCAGUCAUCUAAUUUGGACGAAAGGUAUAUUCUAUCGGUAAUGGAUGGGGAUGCGUCCGAUUAGCCAGCCGGCGGGGUAACGGCCCACCGGGGCAUCGAUCGGUAGGGGUUCUGAGAGGAAGGUCCCCCACACUGGAACUGAGACACGGUCCAGACUCCUACGGGAGGCAGCAGUGAGGAAUAUUGGUCAAUGGGCGUAAGCCUGAACCAGCCAAGUAGCGUGCAGGAUGACGGCCCUAUGGGUUGUAAACUGCUUUUAUGCGGGGAUAAAGUUGGGGACGUGUCCCUUUUUGCAGGUACCGCAUGAAUAAGGACCGGCUAAUUCCGUGCCAGCAGCCGCGGUAAUACGGAAGGUCCGGGCGUUAUCCGGAUUUAUUGGGUUUAAAGGGAGCGUAGGCAGUUUUUUAAGCGUGCUGUGAAAUGUACCGGCUCAACCGGUGAUGUGCAGCGCGAACUGGGAAUCUUGAGUACGCAGUAAGCAGGCGGAAUUCGUGGUGUAGCGGUGAAAUGCUUAGAUAUCACGAAGAACUCCGAUUGCGUAGGCAGCUUGCUGUAGCGUAACUGACGCUGAAGCUCGAAAGUGCGGGUAUCGAACAGGAUUAGAUACCCUGGUAGUCCGCACGGUAAACGAUGGAUGCCCGCUGUCGGCCUUUUUUGGUCGGUGGCCAAGCGAAAGCGUUAAGCAUCCCACCUGGGGAGUACGCCGGCAACGGUGAAACUCAAAGGAAUUGACGGGGGCCCGCACAAGCGGAGGAACAUGUGGUUUAAUUCGAUGAUACGCGAGGAACCUUACCCGGGCUUGAACUGCCAUUGACUUGAAUAGAGAUAUUCAUUCCCUUCGGGGCAUUGGUGGAGGUGCUGCAUGGUUGUCGUCAGCUCGUGCCGUGAGGUGUCGGCUUAAGUGCCAUAACGAGCGCAACCCCUUUUUUCAGUUGCCAUCGGUUAAAGCCGGGCACUCUGUGAAUACUGCCGCCGUAAGGUGUGAGGAAGGUGGGGAUGACGUCAAAUCAGCACGGCCCUUACGUCCGGGGCUACACACGUGUUACAAUGGCGCGUACAGCGAGUCGGCCGUAUGUAAAUGCGGUCCAAUCCUUAAAACGUGCCUCAGUUCGGACUGGGGUCUGCAACCCGACCCCACGAAGCUGGAUUCGCUAGUAAUCGCGCAUCAGCCAUGGCGCGGUGAAUACGUUCCCGGGCCUUGUACACACCGCCCGUCAAGCCAUGAAAGCCGGGGGUGCCUGAAGUCCGUGACCGCAAGGGUCGGCCUAAGGCAAUACUGGUAAUUGGGGCUAAGUCGUAACAAGGUAGCCGUACCGGAAGGUGCGGCUGGAACACCUCCUUUCU